GGGGUCCAUUCCCAGGUGAUGGUGCCUUUCUCCUGGGUUCCAUUCCCAGGUGAUGGUGCCUUUCUCCUGGGGUCCAUUCCCAGGUGAUGGUGCCUUUCUCCUGGGUUCCAUUCCCAGGUGAUGGUGCCUUUCUCCUGGGGUCCAUUCCCAGGUGAUGGUGCCUUUCUCCUGGCUUCCAGUCCCAGGUGAUGGUGCCUUUCUCCUGGCUUCCAUUCCCAGGUGAUGGUGCCUUUCUCCUGGGGUGCAUUCCCUGGCGAUGGUGCCUUUCUCCUGGGUUACAUUCCCAGGUGAUGGUGCCUUUCUCCUGGGUUACAUUCCCAGGUGAUGGUGCCUUUCUCCUGGCUUCCAUUCCCAGAUGAUGGUGCCUUUCUCCUGGGGUCCAUUCCCAGGUGAUGGUGCCUUUCUUCUGGCUUCCAUUCCCAGGCGAUGGUGCCUUUCUCCUGGGUUACAUUCCUGGCGAUGGUGCCUUUCUCCUGGGGUCCAUUUCCAGGUGAUGGUGCCUUUCUCCUGGGGAUGUGUGGUGGUAUAGGGGAUGUGUGGUGGUAUAGGGGAUGUGUGGUGGUAUAGGGGAUGUGUGGUGGUGUAGGGGAUGUGUGGUGGUGUAGGGGAUGUGUGGUGGUGUAGGGGAUGUGUGGUGGUGUAGGGGAUGUGUGGUGGUGUAGGGGAUGUGUGGUGGUGUAGGGGAUGUGUGGUGGUGUAGGGGAUGUGUGGUGGUGUAGGGGAUGUGUGGUGGUGUAGGGGAUGUGUGGUGGUAUAGGGGAUGUGU